rnacentral:rRNA from 1 species
UUAACUGGCCGCCGGGGGGCUCACGCCCCCGGGCCCGCGCCCGCCGAAGACACCCUCGAACUCUGUCUGAAGAUUGAAGUCUGAGUGAAAAUAUAAAUUAUUUAAAACUUUCAACAACGGAUCUCUUGGUUCCGGCAU